UACCAGAACCAAAACGUGGCAAAUAUUUCAACAAGUCAGUCGCAAUUUUUCGCCAGCUGAGGUAUACGUACGAUAUCACAAAAGACACCUGCAUUCAGCAAUCAUUUCAUGACUUUCUUGUUCACGUUUACGAACGUUUUUAAAUCAUAUACGAUUCGAGAACUUCUUUCCUCAGUCAAUUUUAUCACCUAUUAAAUUGAAAAUGUCAUCUAAUUCAAAAAAAAUCAUUCUCAUCAUCACCAUUUUAAUAAGAAUUCGAAUUUCUUUGCAAUUGAAUUUCGCCCAGGAACAAAUAAAAAAUAAACUUAUCAUUUCGACUGCAAAUUUAGAUCCAAAAAUGAGAGUACAAUUCGCCGAUUAUUUGAAGACUUUUAUCGACUCAGCACCUGCGCCUAUGAUACCGCAGUUCGUGGUUAAAAUGAUGAACGAAGUUAUAGAUGAAUACAAAUCAGAAUGUUUGAACAAUUCAGAAAAAAAACUAGGUUCGAACUCACAAACGCCAAAUUUAAUGGACGUAGAAUACAUUUACGGUAACAUUUUCGCGGAUAAAGUACAACAACGUCUGACUCCAGAAGAGCUCAAUCACUUCAUGAAAUCAGUAAACGAAGAUCAACAAUCCAGCAAAAUAAGCGCGGCAAGGUAUUUAACAAUUCAUCUGGAGAAAGAGCUGAAAAAAGUAUCAGAACAAUUCGCACAACAAUUGGAAAAAGUAAUCGAUAAAUUGGCGACAGAUACAAUCAAUCAUAUAAAUGAACUAUAAAUGAACACAAGUGAAAACCAGACGUCUGAUCAUUUGGUCGAACAUGAUGAUAAAUUUCAAUUCAGCAUUUUCUAUUUUACGAAAGUUCAUCACUGAUAUUCAUCUUCCAAUCAAGAAUCUUCACAAUAUUGAAAUCAUGAACGAAACUAUUCUGUACCCAGUAGAAUCAAUUUUUUGAAUAAUACAGGUACUUUUUGAUCAGUCU